rnacentral:rRNA from 1 species
UUGGAGGGCAAGUCUGGUGCCAGCAGCCGCGGUAAUUCCAGCUCCAAUAGCGUAUAUUAAAGUUGUUGCAGUUAAAAAGCUCGUAGUUGAAUUUCGGGGUCAAUUUGUUGGUCGUGCCUCGGUACGUACUGGCAAUUUUGAUUUCUCCCUUCUGAAGAACCAUGAUGUCAUUAAUUUGGUGUCAUGGGGAAUCAGGACCGUUACUUUGAAAAAAUUAGAGUGUUUAAAGCAGGCUCGCGCUUGAAUACAUUAGCAUGGAAUAAUGAAAUAGGACGUUUGAUUCUAUUUUGUUGGUUUCUAGGAUCGACGUAAUGAUUAAUAGGGAUAGUUGGGGGCAUUAGUAUUCAAUUGUCAGAGGUGAAAUUCUUGGAUUUAUUGAAGACUAACUACUGCGAAAGCAUUUGCCAAGGAUGUUUUCAUUAAUCAAGAACGAAAGUUAGGGGAUCGAAGACGAUCAGAUACCGUCGUAGUCUUAACCAUAAACUAUGCCGACUAGGGAUCGGAUGAUGUUAAUUUUUUAAUGACUCAUUCGGCGCCUUACGGGAAAC